rnacentral:rRNA from 1 species
UACGUAGGGUGCGAGCGUUAAUCGGAAUUACUGGGCGUAAAGCGUGCGCAGGCGGUUCGCUGUGUCCGAUGUGAAAGCCCCGGGCUUAACCUGGGAAUGGCGAUGGUGACUGCAAGGCUAGAGUUUGGCAGAGGGGGGUAGAAUUCCACGUGUAGCAGUGAAAUGCGUAGAUAUGUGGAGGAACACCGAUGGCGAAGGCAGCCCCCUGGGUCAAAACUGACGCUCAUGCACGAAAGCGUGGGGAGCAAACAGG